CUAUCACUUCCAUUCCAACUGAAGCCCCUCUUUAGUUUUUCUAGCUCUUGAGCUGGUCAUUUUCCUUCUCCUUUUCACCAUUGUCCUUUCUUGUCUGUCAUCCAGGGAUUGCUUUGUCUUGUUCCAGCAACUGGGGCUGUAGAGUGGAAGCUCACUGGAGCAGACACCUUGCGUUACUUGUGUUUAACAUUGAGCAAACCCAGCUACUAUCUUGGAGUUCUACACACCAUAAGUAAUAAAAAUGAAACUACUCUUUGACAUUCAAAAGUUAUAUGGAAGCACAGAUUACACUGCCAAGAUAGAGAUACACUUCUUUUAAGGACAGAAAGGACACCCCUGAUUUUCUUUGACCUCCUCUCAUUACCAGCUGUAGAAUAACACACCCAGUCAGCUGCACAUUCAGCACAGCAUUGCUGUGGAAGAACUGGCAUAUUUCCUGUAGAAAGGCAGCCAGGUACCAGCUUGUGGCUGGGGAAGCAACUACCGCAAAUCUACGUGGGUUUGAGUGUUUCAGUGGUCAGGAAUAUAUUGCUGCAUCUAUAGGCACUGACAAUUAAACACACCCCUGAGAACACCUUUCUUAUUUUCUCCUUGAUUCCUCCAUCAUACCACAAACUGAGUUGAAUGUAGAGGAAUAUUAGAGUGGCUGUUAAGCUCCAUUUUUCAUUUGUCAGGUGAGAAAUGUCAGACCAAUGCAAAGGCAUGGAGUCAGAGCAUACUGUGUUGGCCUAGCAUUUGGAAACUUCUCAGGCUCAUUAUUUCCUCAGUUGCAAAGUAUGUGUUCUACAUACAAAUGGGCUAAACGACUGCAAGCAGAGUCACUGAAGUGGGGCAGCAACACAAACAUUUGAAUGUUUUCCAGCCAAGAUAUUUGAGAAGUAUUAACUGCCUUCACUUUUUUGGCUACAGUGAAGGAGCACAUCAAAGUUCAUAAAUUGAAGAGAAGGAAAAGGCCAGGAUGAAAAUCACAAGGCACAGAUUUAUCACACGGAGGUCUGAUGCAACUCUGAGAUUCCUUUUAACACAAUGGAAUUGAAAGAGUGAAGUUCUGCUCCUGAUAACAGUCAGAAAAAUGACAUGUUCUGUACAGGAAUAUCAAAAUGGAUAUUGAAAGAGAGAAGUACCAGAAAACCAGUGCUGAUUAGAUUUGAAGUACUGAAGAGACGAGGUGAGGAGAUGAACAAAAACAAACUGGUAAUCUGUACCUUUACUCAACCACUAUAGCCAAACCAUAACCAGGUGACAUUCCUUUGAAAAUCCAUUAGAAGAGCUGUUACAGCUGAAGGAUUGUGCGUUCAAUCUUUUAGCAAUAAAAUCCUUCAUGUGCACAAACACAGGAUCACAUAACGCCAUGAAGCAUCUAAAGAAGAAGAGAAAUCCUACGCUUAUACAUCAUCCUAUACCAGGUAGGAAUUGGGCAUAUGUAACCACAACAACUCAGGUUCCUUAUUAUUGUUUUUCCUUCCCUCUUAGACUAAGUAAAACUAAUUUUCACUGCUAGUCAAAAGAAAUA